rnacentral:pre_miRNA from 14 species
UCGGGGCUGCGGCGGGCGGAAGGGCGCCCUCGCUUCGUCUUCUCUGCGGCGGGCCCA